rnacentral:rRNA from 1 species
GACGAACGCUGGCGGCGUGCCUAAUACAUGCAAGUCGAGCGGAUUUGAGGGAGCUUGCUCCCAACGAUCAGCGGCGGACGGGUGAGUAACACGUGGGUAACCUGCCUGUAAGACUGGGAUAACUCCGGGAAACCGGGGCUAAUACCGGAUAAUUCAGUUCCUCGCAUGAGGAACUGUUGAAAGGUGGCUUUCAGCUACCACUUACAGAUGGACCCGCGGCGCAUUAGCUAGUUGGUGAGGUAACGGCUCACCAAGGCAACGAUGCGUAGCCGACCUGAGAGGGUGAUCGGCCACGCUGGGACUGAGACACGGCCCAGACUCCUACGGAAGGCAGCAGUAGGGAAUCUUCCGCAAUGGACGAAAGUCUGACGGAGCAACGCCGCGUGAGUGAAGAAGGUUUUCGGAUCGUAAAACUCUGUUGUUAGGGAAGAACAAGUGCCGUUCGAAUAGGGCGGCACCUUGACGGUACCUAACCAGAAAGCCACGGCUAACUACGUGCCAGCCGCCGCAGUAA